rnacentral:lncRNA from 1 species
GCCGACUGUAGCAAGGGAACACCAUGGUUAGGGUUUGUUCAUCUUCCAAGCUUCAUGGUAAGUCCGUUCUAGCCCCGUUUUUCUUGUUCUUUAUAUUUUUAGAAUCCCGGUAAAUUGCAUAAUCUAAUUCUACUAUUAAUUCGAGCUAGAAUUUAUGUUUGAAAAAUUACCCAUAGAUGAAAAGUGUGAAUUUUGAUGUUUCAUGACAGGAUAUGAAGCUUAGAGUUAUGUUAAACGAUUUUUGCUAAUCGAUUUUCAGCGAAAACGAGUAAAACGACAUAAUUGGUAAAAAUACCUAAUGCUCAUAAGUAAGUGUUAGAGUGGGAAUUUGAUGUUGGCUUAGAAGGGAAAAAUGUUCAGUAUGUCAUAAAACAUAAGAAUAAGAGAGGAAGUUUAAUUUUUGAGCUUUGAGGCUAAAGUGUAAAUAUGUAAAAGUUUAGGGGCAAAAUUGUAAUUUUUCUAAAGUUUGAGUUAAGGACUGUUUUGAUGAAUGUGCAUGUUAAAUAAGUCAAAUGUGUUAUUAUAGUUCAAGAAAGAUGUGGAAUCUACCUUGAUCGGAGAAAAGAAAAGAUUAAAGAUUAAAGACUAAAUUGCUAAAUUUCUAUAUUGUUGCACCAAAGUAAGUAUGUAUGUGAAUUUAUGUAUUAUUUUAAUGUUAUUCAAUAAAUUUUUGAGAUUUGAUUGAAUAUAGAAUAAAUAUUUGAUGUAGAAUAUAAGAAGUUGGUUAAGUUUGAGAAAUGUGGUAAAAUGUUGAAAAACAAGGUUUCCGACUGAACACUCGGAAUAGACCGGAAUACAUUGAAUAAAAAGGGGUUGCUAAGUGCUGAUUCCCCGAAUUAUUGAAUCUAAAGGUGGUUGCUAUGUGCUGAUUUCACCCUAUCUUUGAUUGUGAAAGGGAUUGCUAUGUGCUGAUUCCCCGUAUCAUUGAAUAUAAAGGUGGUUGCUAAGUGCUGAUUCCACCGUAUCCUUGAUUGUGAAAGGGGUUGCUAUGUGCUGAUUCCCCGUAUCACUGAAUUUAAUGUUGUUGCUAAGUGCUGAAUCCACCAAGUAACGGAUAAUAUUCUAAGUGUUCAACAGGGAAAUUGGAAAGGUGAAUGUACAUAUGAAAUGGACAAGAUUAUGUGAGGAAUACUGGGUUUGAUAUUUAAUCGACCCAUGUGUAAGAAGGUAUGAAAUAUCAAAACUACAAAAAGUAAAUCUAGAAAUAAAACAGUUUUAAAAAACAACAGUUGAGCAACUUUGAAAAAUCACCAUAAUUGGUGGAAAAUGAAUUGGAGGUUGAAUAAUAUAUGAAAUUGAAUCUGAGUGAGUCUAUUUUCACAAGAAAGAAACAGAGUAAGCAAAAGAGUUAUAUAUUUUGAAAUAUUUGAAUUUUAGUGAAACAGGACUGAAUUGAUUUCGAAAUCCCCUGUUCCAACUUUGGAAAAUCACUAAAAAUUGUACAAAAAUAAUUAUGGCUUGUAAUUUACAUUCUUGAAUUCCUCAUUCAGUCUAUUUUCAAGAGAAACAAACAAGAACAUCAUUUGAAUUCUGUACAAAGAGAUAAAAAAAAUUUUAGUGAAGAGGGGUUAGAGUUGUUGAGUAGUGAAACAGGGGAGAGUUUGAAGAAUAAACUGUACUAAUUGGCUAAACCAAAAAUUCUAAAAAUUUUAUGUUUAGAAUAUAUGUGAGUCUAGUUUUGGUUAAAAUUAACGAAACUUAAUUUGGAGCUCUGUAGCUCUAGAUAAAAAUAAUUUAGUGACUAUAAUUCGACUAGACAGCUUUAAAUUUAAAUAUAAGUGGAUAGUGAAAUUAUGUAUAAUGCUAUUUUAGCAUGCUAUAUACAUAAAGGAUGUGGAUGGAGAGGAGG